AUAAGACUGGGAUAACUUCGGGAAACCGUAGCUAAUACCGGAUAAUAUCUUGAACCGCAUGGUUCAAAAGUGAAAGACGGUCUUGCCGUCACUUAUAGAUGGAUCCGCGCUGCAUUAGCUAGUUGGUAAGGUAACGGCUUACCAAGGCAACGAUGCAUAGCCGACCUGAGAGGGUGAUCGGCCACACUGGAACUGAGACACGGUCCAGACUCCUACGGGAGGCAGCAGUAGGGAAUCUUCCGCAAUGGGCGAAAGCCUGACGGAGCAACGCCGCGUGAGUGAUGAAGGUCUUCGGAUCGUAAAACUCUGUUAUUAGGGAAGAACAUAUGUGUAAGUAACUGUGCACAUCUUGACGGUACCUAAUCAGAAAGCCACGGCUAACUACGUGCCAGCAGCCGCGGUAAUACGUAGGUGGCAAGCGUUAUCCGGAAUUAUUGGGCGUAAAGCGCGCGUAGGCGGUUUUUUAAGUCUGAUGUGAAAGCCCACGGCUCAACCGUGGAGGGUCAUUGGAAACUGGAAAACUUGAGUGCAGAAGAGGAAAGUG
rnacentral:rRNA from 1 species